GGCGGCGUGCNUAACACAUGCAAGUCGAACGAGAAAGUUCCUUCGGGAAUGAGUAGAGUGGCGCACGGGUGAGUAACGCGUGGGUAAUCUGCCCCUNGGAUUUGGGAUAACUUCGCGAAAGUGGAGCUAAUACCGGAUAGUCUGGCUUUGUAAAAGGAGUCGGUAAAGGAUGCCUCUGCAUAUGCAUUCGUCCGAGGAUGAGCCCGCGUCUCAUUAGCUAGUUGGUAGGGUAACGGCCUACCAAGGCGACGAUGAGUAGCUGGUCUGAGAGGAUGAUCAGCCACACUGGGACUGAAACACGGCCCAGACUCCUGCGGGAGGCAGCAGUGGGGAAUAUUGCGCAAUGGGCGAAAGCCUGACGCAGCAACGCCGUGUGAGGGAUGAAGGUUUUCGGAUCGUAAACCUCUGUCAGAAGGGAAGAAGUGAUGCGGGUCCAAUAGGCCCGCAUUUGGACG
rnacentral:rRNA from 1 species